CUUUGGGGCAGACAACGCCCCGAAAGGAUUAACAAAUACAAUGGCCAAACAACUUGAGGCUUAAAACUGUGCACUACACAACCGAAGACAAAAUGCAAACAUAAACACAAAUACAAACAGCGCCCAGCCCAAAACGGGGGCGUGGCGCAGAAGUCCAAAAGUGCUUUUAACCUACUUUUUGCCAGCAAACAGACUCGGAAUCCAUCCAACAUAUGCAUAAAUAGACUUUAACCCUUGAUGGCGGUACCGCAGAAAGUGGAGGGCAGCCGGAGGAGCACGAGUAUAUAAAACACUCCUUAAAAGCCAUUGAAACCGGAAAACUUAAAUUCAAAUAUCGUUGCAAAAAAAUACCCUCUAAUGGCAGACGUAGAAGAAAAACCCAACUACCGCCUCAAUUAUCAGAGUAUAAUGAGCAGUCAGUUGGUUAAACACGCCGUCGAACGCCGAAAGUGCGGAGGAGUCUGGGCCGCACAUGUGUGCUCGGAGGCAAUCAUUUAAAUAGUUAUUGCACUUUUCCCCACCCGGCACCCACGACAAUGCAAUUAGUUUAAAAGGCCAAGAAGAGCAGGAGCCAAAAAAGCGAAAAGCAGAAAACAGCCAGCAACUGACAGGCUGACAAGCCAGGAAGGGGCGGCAGGAUGAGCCACGGCACAUGGAAGAAUGUCAAAGCAGAAUGAAGCCAUUAAGCGAACGGCAAACUUGGAACCGCCCGAAAAAAUCGAAUAGACGACGGAAACAGAAGCCAGAGAAGUACGAGUUCUAAGCAAAAAGCAGUGGCAACAAAAUCUAACACCCGCCGACGACGCGCUGGGCAGCACACUCUUUGACUGCCUCGAAACGUCAACGGUGCCACAGCCACAGCAGCAACAUCAACAUCCUCAGCAGCAGCAGAAGCAGCAACAUCAGCAGCCACAGCAGCAACACCAGCCGGCAACAUCAUCUCCUCGUCAUAGCCCAGAUGGAGUUCCAGGAGGAGAUGGGGUGGAGGCGAGGGCCAAGUCUCAUAAGCGUCCAAUCACUGAGAAAAAUAUAGUUAUUUCAAAUGCAUUUUAGAAUUUCAGAAGAUCAGAAUUUUUGAAGAUCAAUAUUUGGAGGAAGAAUAUUUUGUUAGGAAGAUAAAAAAAGAAGAAAAACACAAAAAGUGAAGAUAAAAUACAUACAUUCGCGAUUAAUUAUUAACUUGUUUUCCCAGUAAAAUAAGAAUAUCCUUAUAAAUUGGUUUCAUUUUCAAAAAAAAAUUUAA